GACGGAGCCAGCGAGUCUAACCUUGGCCGAGAGGUCUUGGUAAUCUUGUGAAACUCCGUCGUGC
rnacentral:rRNA from 1 species